rnacentral:rRNA from 1 species
AAGGCUAAAUACUCCUGACUGACCGAUAGUGAACCAGUACCGUGAGGGAAAGGCGAAAAGAACCCCGGCGAGGGGAGUGAAAAAGAACCUGAAACCGUGUACGUACAAGCAGUGGGAGCACGCUUAGGCGUGUGACUGCGUACCUUUUGUAUAAUGGGUCAGCGACUUAUAUUCUGUAGCAAGGUUAACCGAAUAGGGGAGCCGAAGGGAAACCGAGUCUUAACUGGGCGUUAAGUUGCAGGGUAUAGACCCGAAACCCGGUGAUCUAGCCAUGGGCAGGUUGAAGGUUGGGUAACACUAACUGGAGGACCGAACCGACUAAUGUUGAAAAAUUAGCGGAUGACUUGUGGCUGGGGGUGAAAGGCCAAUCAAACCGGGAGAUAGCUGGUUCUCCCCGAAAGCUAUUUAGGUAGCGCCUCGUGAAUUCAUCUCCGGGGGUAGAGCACUGUUUCGGCA